rnacentral:rRNA from 1 species
CUACGGGCGGCACCAGUGGGGAAUAUUGGACAAUGGGCGAAAGCCUGAUCCAGCAAUGCCGCGUGAGUGAUGAAGGCCUUAGGGUUGUAAAGCUCUUUUACCCGGGAUGAUAAUGACAGUACCGGGAGAAUAAGCUCCGGCUAACUCCGUGCCAGCAGCCGCGGUAAUACGGAGGGAGCUAGCGUUGUUCGGAAUUACUGGGCGUAAAGCGCACGUAGGCGGCUUUGUAAGUUAGAGGUGAAAGCCUGGAGCUCAACUCCAGAAUUGCCUUUAAGACUGCAUCGCUUGAAUCCAGGAGAGGUGAGUGGAAUUCCGAGUGUAGAGGUGAAAUUCGUAGAUAUUCGGAAGAACACCAGUGGCGAAGGCGGCUCACUGGACUGGUAUUGACGCUGAGGUGCGAAAGCGUGGGGAGCAAACAGGAUUAGAUACCCCAGUAGUC